GACGAACGCUGGCGGCGUGCUUAACACAUGCAAGUCGAACGGAAAGGCCCUGCUUUUGUGGGGUGCUCGAGUGGCGAACGGGUGAGUAACACGUGAGUAACCUGCCCUUGACUUUGGGAUAACUUCAGGAAACUGGGGCUAAUACCGGAUAGGAGCUCCUGCUGCAUGGUGGGGGUUGGAAAGUUUCGGCGGUUGGGGAUGGACUCGCGGCUUAUCAGCUUGUUGGUGGGGUAGUGGCUUACCAAGGCUUUGACGGGUAGCCGGCCUGAGAGGGUGACCGGCCACAUUGGGACUGAGAUACGGACCAGACUGGUACGGGAGGCAGCAGUGGGAAAUAUUGCACAAUGGGCGGAAGCGUGAUGCAGCAACGCCGCGUGCGGGAUGACGGCCUUCGGGUUGUAAACCGCUUUCGCCUGUGACGAAGCGUGAGUGACGGUAAUGGGUAAAGAAGCACCGGCUAACUACGUG
rnacentral:rRNA from 1 species